CGUCUGUACACAGGCACACGCGCCAGCACGCUCGCUCCCGCUCUGGCUGAUUAUAUAUGUACAUAAAAUAUUGAUUAGAAAUGGUAAUGGAGUCACCUACAGGAUCGGCUACGGGAAAAUGAAAACGGAAGAGAGAAAGAAGGUGAAAGGCAGCCGGAAGAAGAAGGAGGGAGUGACAAAAAGGAAGAUGAUCCACUGCCA
rnacentral:lncRNA from 1 species